GGGAUAAUGAGUGUUCUGACUGGAUGGAGAUGAUGAUCACUGCCAACAGUGAUAACAAUGGAAACAUGAGUGAUACGGAGGUGAGGAGGAGCGUCCCGGUGCAGUUCGCCGUUGAUCUGGCGAUCAGUCUAGUGGCUGAAGACUCUGUGACGUAUCUGACUUCUCUCUGGAGGACAGAGGUCCAAAACC